ACGCGCGGAUGCGCCUUGCUGGAUUAAUCUUUCCUCUCGUCACCGAACCGUUAAUAAUCAAAAACACUUUGAGAACAUUCAAACAGACGAAGGACAUGCAAUCGCUCGUACCUUCACUCCAAUUUCACAAAUGCUACGGAAGGGAAAGAAAGGAGAAGAGGAAUGCAGGGUGCAGGCUCUUCGAACGAAGUAUCAGUUUUGGUGAACCAGAUAUUCUUUCUUUGCAGGUAUGUAAAAGAUAAAGGGAAACGAAUGAACUUCUUUAUUUGUUCAUAUCUUCAAAGUACCGAGAUAUUGAAAACUCAUUUCCGGUCUCGGUCGCGCGUUUUGUCUGUAGUGAAUUUCCACAUAUUCCACAUAUAAAAGAAAAACAUUCUUGAUUUGAGAAUAUCCUGUAUUUGCGAAAUGUUAAAUAUUGAAACAAGAUAGCGCGUUACACAACAAAUAACUUGCUUACAUAAAAAUGUUUUGUAUACUUUUAUGAAAUAUGAUAAUUUUCAUGGAUAUUGAGAGGAAAAAAUAUUAGAUUUGAAGUGAUAAAUAACUUGAAAUAAAAAAUUAUAAUAUUUUAAUACUAUUAUUAAAACGAUCAUGUAUUGUGCUCUAUAUAUGAUCUCUCCCUACAUAUAAUUAUGAAAUUGAAAUAAAACUACAUUUUACUGAAAUUUAAGAUUAAAAAAAUUAAAUUAUAUAUACCUUUAUAUGCAGAAUAAUUUAAGGGAUCAUAUUUUGUAAAAAAAAAUCGUGCAAUUUUAAUUGCAUCUUGUUUUCGAAAUAUUUACUCGAUAUUUUAUGCCCAUCCUAUAUAAAUGAGAAUAUAAUUGCUUGUAUAUAUAAAACGAUAAUUGUUAAGUAGAAUGCAUUAGUUUAUUUAAUUUGAUAUUGAUCUAAUAUUCUCCCUCUGUGGAUUCUUGGAAUUUUUGACCAGAAUUUUUAUUCUUUAACAAGAAGGAAAAGAAGAAAAAUAAAUAGUAGAAAAACGAGUCAAACAAAAGAAAAAAAAAUCAUCUUUUCAUUAAAAAAAUUCUGAAUGGGUCGUUUUGACAAAAGUUAAAUUUGUCACGUCUCUUUUGUUCUUUUGAAAACAGCUUCUGUUGCAAUUUUUCUUAGCCGAGUUUCCCUGCAUUCCAGGCUUAUAUUUUAUAUCCUUGGAUUUUUAACCACUUCCUCACCAAAUUGUGACAUUAUGUUAAAAAUUAAGAGAGCGUCGCAUAAAAGACAUUGUAAUUAGUAAUAAAUCAUUAGAUAUGUUUAGAAAAUGUACAAAACGUAUGAAUUAACACCUGAGACUUUUAUUAGCUUUGUUUUUAACAAAAACAAGUUAAAUUAACUACGAAUCUGAGAAAAUGGUUCUUGCAUUUCAAUAAAAAAAAAA